UAUAUUAUGAAAAUUUUGUGAUUUGCACUACUACCUUGUUUAAAUUGCAUACAUAUUAUGCCAUGAUGAUUAUUAGAUAAACAUGCAUGUCAGCUUCUCAAACCCUGAUUUACAUGUUUAGCCUACUGGUUGAUCCGGUAGGAUUAUGCAGGAUUACUUACUGAGCCGUGUAGCUCACAUCUGUUUAUGCUUCGUUUUCUUUCAGACCCUCAUCAGUGAUCGCCACCAGAUAUAUUUUUAUUUUGUUACAGAGCUUCGUAUUUUUGGAGAAGCUUAUAUACUUUUGUACAUUUGAAUAGCAUAGAAGUUCUGUAUUUUUGGUUUCAAACUUGAAGGUGGUACUGUAAAACUUUUAAUAUAUAUAUAUAUAUAAGUUUUAAUCCUUUUGGCUACCUGUUACCCCUGUAUGAGGCUGCGUGCUACUGUGGGCGAUAGUCGGCAAUAGCACGGCCGUGUCACGGAUCCGGG
rnacentral:lncRNA from 1 species